GCAACUCUAACUACUUAAAUUUCAAUUCUUUCGGGAUUUUCAUCCCACGUUUCAAUUUUCUUCUUCAUUAUCAAACUGUUUUUUUCUCUGUAUAAACAGCAAUCUCUGAUGUCAAAAAAUAAAUAUAGCAAUCGGCUAAGUUAUUCUCAAACUCCACCAGAUUGGUCUUCCUUUUUCUUUAUGUUCUCAUAGGUUCACAUAUGGUGGCUCUGCAACUUUUUAGACGACCAAAAUAGACAAGAACUUCUCAAUCUUCUUAUUGAUAUUCCUUUUUGUCUAUAUUCUCACGGUUUUUCUGCUUAUCUUUUCUGAAAUAAUCUUUUUAGAAAUGAUUGAAUUACUACUGUACUUUUCUAUUGCUUCUAACAUCUUUUUGUGACAGUUGUUACAUUCUCACGAUGAUUUUUGAAAUCCUUUAAUUAACAGGAACGCCAGUUUCUCACCGUUUAUCAGUAAUGAAGGAUUUCAAGAAUCAUCGACAAAAUUUGAAGCUAGAGAAGACAUUGCUAACAAAUAAGAAAAUGUAAAGAAAGAAUUCAGUAAGCAUCUUGAAUAUUAUUGAGCAAUUUACGUCAAAACAUGAGGAAAUUGUAUAUGAGUGAUGAUUUUGAUAAUGUUUGGGAAAAAGAAGCAGAUAAAAAUUUCAAAACU